CCUACGGGUGGCAGCAGUAGGGAAUCUUCCACAAUGGACGAAAGUCUGAUGGAGCAACGCCGCGUGAGUGAAGAAGGGUUUCGGCUCGUAAAACUCUGUUGCUAGAGAAGAACAGGUGUAAGAAUAACUGCUUACAUUUCGACGGUAUCUAACCAGAAAGUCACGGCUAACUACGUGCCAGCAGCCGCGGUAAUACGUAGGUGGCAAGCGUUGUCCGGAUUUAUUGGGCGUAAAGGGAGCGCAGGUGGUCUUUUAAGUCUGAUGUGAAAGCCUUCGGCUUAACCGAAGAAGUGCAUCGGAAACUGAAUGACUUGAGUGCAGAAGAGGACAGUGGAACUCCAUGUGUAGCGGUGAAAUGCGUAGAUAUAUGGAGGAACACCAGUGGCGAAGGUGACUGUCUGGUCUGUUACUGACACUGAGGCUCGAAAGCAUGGGUAGCAAACAGGAUUAGAUACCCUUGUAGUC
rnacentral:rRNA from 1 species